UGGGCGGAGAAUUUGCGUUUCUAACAAGUUCCCAGAUGAUGCUGAUGCUGCUGGUUUGGGGACUAUGAUUUGAGAACCACUGAUCUAGUGGUUUGGCUGACACAUCAGUAACCACAAUUCAAAGAUUACAUGCUGUGAAAUAAGUACAAGUAAUGUGCAGUGGGAAAGAGGGUGUGGAGAAGUGGGUCAAAAGACUAAUGAACAACCGGAGAUCUGGGAAGCCCUAUGGAAGAGGGAGAGGUUAUUCGGGAUCUUGACAAGUGGAUAACGCCUGGACAGACUGGGCAUGUCUGACUGCCAGGCAGGUUGCCAUGGGCACCACGUGGAGCAGCAUCAGAGGAGCCUGGGCUAAAGAUGCCCGGUCAGGUCGCACUUGUGUGAAGCUGGCUGCAUUCUUCAUGGAACCGGCUGCCAUUGCAAUGGCAGGAAUACCAGCAUGGCUGGACAAGCAGCGCUAGGUCUGCACCUGGGAUCUGAACCUGUGACCCUGCAAACCCUGGGCUGCUGAAGCAGAGUGCACAAACUUAACCACUAUGUCACUAGGCUGCCACCUGCAUUUUACUUUUUAAAGUGGCUACUGGAAGAUCUUAAAUUACG
rnacentral:lncRNA from 1 species